GAGCACGUAGGUGGGUUUGUAAGUCCGAUGUGAAAGCCUUCUGUUCAACGGAAGAAUUGCAUCUGAAACUGCAAACCUUGAGUGUAGGAGGGGAGAAUGGAACUUCUGGUGGAGCGGUGAAAUGCGUAGAUAUCAGAAGGAACGCCGGCGGCGAAAGCGAUUCUCUGCCUAUUACUGACACUCAGUGUGCGAAAGCUAGGGGAGCAAACGGGAUUAGAUACCCCGGUAGUCCUAGCCGUAAAUGAUGGGCACUAAGUAGAGGGAAUUACCGAUGUUCUCUCUGCCGUAGCUAACGCAUUAAGUGCCCCGCCUGGGGAGUACGGCCGCAAGGCUAAAACUCAAAAGAAUUGACGGGGGCUCGCACAAGCGGUGGAGCAUGUGGCUUAAUUCGAUGCAACGCGAAAAACCUUACCGGGGCUUGACAUGGUAGAAGUAGGAACCCGAAAGGGGAACGAAUGGUAUCCAGUCCAUAGCUAUCACAGGUGUUGCAUGGCUGUCGUCAGCUCGUGUCGUGAGACGUUGGGUUAAGUCCCCUAACGAGCGAAACCCUUGUUUUUAGUUACCGGCGGGUUGUGCCGGGUACUCUAGAAAGACUGCCGUCGUCAAGACGGAGGAAGGUGGGGGAUGACGUCAGUCAUUCAUGGCCCUUAUGCCCCAGGCUGCACAAUUGCUAUAAUGGUCGGUACAAACGGAAGCGAAUCCGAAAGGGUGAAGCGAUUCC
rnacentral:rRNA from 1 species